rnacentral:lncRNA from 1 species
GUUUUGUCUGGGGCUCGUCCUGCUACAUUUCUUGGUUCCCUGAACAGGAAGCGAGGUAACUGACGGACGGCCAAGGCAGCCCCUUGGGUGGCUUAGGCCUGCCCUGUGGAGCAUCCCUGCGGUGGACUCUGGCCAGCCUGAGUGACGCGAUCCAAAGAGCGCUCCCGGGUAGGAAAUUCCCCGGGUGGAACGCCUCGCCAGAGCAGCACGUAGCAGGCCCCCGAGGAGGAUUAACACACUGGCUGAACACUGGGAAGGAACUGGCACUUGGAGUCCGGACAUCUGAAACUUGCAACCCACUCUCUGUGCUAUGACUUCAUUACUCUUUCCCAGCCCAGCCCUGGGCAAGCCCCUUACGAAGUCUCAGGCUACCUGGAUGACCACCCUUUCUUAUGAUGCUGCAAGGAGGGCAGGUGGGCAGAGCCCCGUGCAUCCUGGGCUCAGGCCAGGGACCCAAGAGCUUGGGAGAAGCUGGUUCUCAGACUGAAGGCCAGAGCCCAGCACCUUGUCACCAUCCCGGGGAGCAUCAUGGCACACAACAACCAGAGCCAAGGCUACAGCUAGAGAGUUGACUCCUCUAUUUGAGAUUGACAGGCCUCGGAAGUCAAAAUAAGUGGUUUCCUAGACCGGGUCGAGAGCAAGUCUCUAUUGGUCCCAACUGAGUUUUUUCAGCUGGUUUUUCAACCAAACAGCACCUCAUCUCCCAGUGAGGGGAAGGGAAGGCUGGGCUGAGAGCAGCAAGGCUGCUCAUCUCACCUCUCCCCACCCAGCCAUGCCAGCCGCCUCACCUGGUGGGGAGAGGUGGGCCUCACCUGGGUCCCCUGGCAGUGCUCUGUGAAGGGUCUUGACAUUGCACUGUAAUAAUAAAGGUGUGUGUGAAGUAUC